AGAGUUUGAUCAUGGCUCAGGACGAACGCUGGCGGCGUGCUUAACACAUGCAAGUCGAACGGAAAGUGCCCAGCUUGCUGGGUGACUCGAGUGGCGAACGGGUGAGUAACACGUGGGUGAUCUGCCCUGCACUUUGGGAUAAGCCUGGGAAACUGGGUCUAAUACCGGAUAUACCCUGCUGGUCGCAUGGCCUGGUGGGGGAAAGCUUUUGCGGUGUGGGAUGGGCCCGCGGCCUAUCAGCUUGUUGGUGGGGUGAUGGCCUACCAAGGCGACGACGGGUAGCCGGCCUGAGAGGGUGUCCGGCCACACUGGGACUGAGAUACGGCCCAGACUCCUACGGGAGGCAGCAGUGGGGAAUAUUGCACAAUGGGCGCAAGCCUGAUGCAGCGACGCCGCGUGAGGGAUGACGGCCUUCGGGUUGUAAACCUCUUUCAGCCAUGACGAAGCGUGAGUGACGGUAAUGGCAGAAGAAGCACCGGCCAACUACGUGCCAGCAGCCGCGGUAAUACGUAGGGUGCGAGCGUUGUCCGGAAUUACUGGGCGUAAAGAGCUCGUAGGUGGUUUGUCGCGUUGUUCGUGAAAACUCAAGGCUUAACCUUGGGCGUGCGGGCGAUACGGGCAGACUGGAGUACUGCAGGGGAGACUGGAAUUCCUGGUGUAGCGGUGGAAUGCGCAGAUAUCAGGAGGAACACCGGUGGCGAAGGCGGGUCUCUGGGCAGUAACUGACGCUGAGGAGCGAAAGCGUGGGGAGCGAACAGGAUUAGAUACCCUGGUAGUCCACGCCGUAAACGGUGGGUACUAGGUGUGGGUUUCCUUCCUUGGGAUCCGUGCCGUAGCUAACGCAUUAAGUACCCCGCCUGGGGAGUACGGCCGCAAGGCUAAAACUUAAAGGAAUUGACGA
rnacentral:rRNA from 1 species